UGUGCCCUCCAUCUCUUUACUUACUCUCGCUCUGUCUUGAGGACAUUACUGAUUUUCUUCUGACAGUCUUUGAGCAGCAAUUCCAUUUCUCCAUCCUUCCGGCCAUUGUUACAGAGCUGUUGGAGAGAAGAACAGAAUAGCCUGAGGUGAAGCAGCUGACCAACGCCACCUCUGUUUCUGGAUCCUAUGGAAGCCAAGGCUAAGAGCGGGGCACCAGCGCCCAAGGCAUCCUCUAAAGCAGAGAAGACAGAGAAGAAGGAGGCAGCUCCCCCUAAAAAGGUUGACCCUGCUCAAGUAGAGCCUCUACCCCCAGCAGCCCCUGUGGAAGAGCCUCAAAUGGAGGAUGGAUCAGCUGAACCAGAGGGGGCACCAGAGGGGGAGGAGGCAGCAGAGGCCAGUACGGACUCCCUGGAAAGCCUGAAGCCCUUCCUCAUUGGUGGUGCCAUCAUCGCUGCUGGUGCCAUCCUGUUGGGGGCACUGUUGUUGGCACGAAGAAAUUAACCACCACCACUCAUCAUCAAAACAUAUUGGUCGAUGGGUUAACGAGUCACUUGCUGAUUGGUUCAUAGACUAUCAUGCAGCUGGUAGAGAUGGGGUUAUGGGGAGCCACUGUGCUUCUUAACUUUAAUUCAGUCUGACCUUACUUGUAGUGAAUAUAAACAUCAGUGAACAUUCAAGUAAUAUAUUUUUGGGCCCCUGCUAGUAUACUCACGCAUGAAUUUGCUCCACCCCUCUAACUGCACCUAUUUAUAGGUCUACACGCUUUUAAUCACCAUACAAAUGCACUCCCAACAGUUACACUGGACACACAUAUACACAGUACUUGAACACCCUAUUUAUCCAGUAUUCACUGAUAAACAUUUGGAUGUUUCUGGGUCUACUAAUACAUAAGUUAGAAGUAGAAAUGCAGUAACUUUAUAUUGUUUGAUUUGAAAAAGGUCAUAUGAAGUGAAGUAUGAAGUAUAUUAAACAUACUAUUGUGAGUGCCUAGCAGGUUUGGGGUCAAUUUCAUUUGAAUUCCAGUCAAUUCAGGAAGUACACUGAAAUUCCUCUAUUUAUUUGAAGACCAUACAUGUUAGAGUGAUAGUGCGAGAGACUGUGCAGCUACUGUAAUAGUACUGUACAUUGUAUGUAUGAAUUUCGAUUCAGAAUGAAAAUAUUCUACAUGUAAUAUGUGGUGUACCAAUGUAUGUAUUAGCUUGGCCAGUCAUGCUCAGCAAAUCAGCAUAUACACAAAUAUAUUACAUCCAUAUCCAACCUCCAAGAAAGCCUUGAAAGUAUGAUGAAAUGAUGAUAAUACAUGCAUUACGGUUUAUUUUCUAAUACAUUCAUAUUUUUUGAUAGUUUGAUAAACCUAGAAUCCAAGUAGAAAGCAUGCAUUAUUGACAGGAGUAGAGAAAUAGCUGGAUUUAUUUAGUAGAUAAACUGAGAUUGUUUCUUCUGUUGUUUCCCUAUUCAUUACAGAGAAGCACUCCUAUUUUUGAUAACAAACACUUUUUAAUUUUUUUUUUAAAUCAGAGGUCUAGGAGAUUUUCAACACCCAAUCAAACAUCUUGCUUGAACCCUGGCAUGUAGCGUACCAUGAUGCAAUAUCAAUACCCCCAGCACAGCAACAGAACAGACACAUAUUCUGCAGAUACAUGUUCAAAUAGCCUAGUCAUCAUGUCACAGAGUACUAAAUAAAAUCUGUCAGUUAUUUUCCUUGGUCUCAAAGAGCGUAUAAAUGCAAUAAUUCCAGUAGGACUCCACAUUUUAGCACAUGUUCUGUGUGAUAUUAAAAUAAAUGGCAAUGAUGGUGAAAUGUUGAUGGGUAAUACUAUUGUAAAUGGAGAAUGAGAACCAGAUGAUGAUGAUUAAACCUAUAUUUUCUUGAUAUCCCAGCUCCCUAUAUAACAUAUUUUCCCUCUUGCACACUCCCUCCCCUGACUCCAAUGCUCCUUGUGUAAAUCCAAAUGGUUGUCUUGUGACUUGACCUGACCUUUAUUAAAGGCAAUGAAACAGCUUG